rnacentral:lncRNA from 1 species
AAGCAAUUUGCUCAUAGCCAUAGCUUUCUUGUGAAAGUAGGAUAUUAACCCAGGUGUCUUGGUGCUGGAGAACAGAACUGGCCAGAGUCCAUCCUGUCUCCCACCGGCAUCCCAUUACGAAAUGAACACAGAAAAGGCAGGUCUGCAAUGCCAACAUCUAGUAUCUAUCCCAAAGACCAGGGAGAAAGGAAGGAAAGAUUCUGGUUCUGUCCUCUUCCCCAAGGCAAGGCUGGCUGCCCUACCAACAGAGGCAAAGAGAAGAGUGUGCAAGGCUGGCUGCCCUCCCAACAGAGGCAAAGAGGAGUGUGUGUUGAAAUAUCCAUUGAAUCCCUGAGACAACUGGAUCCUGGCCCAUUGAAUCAUAAACUCAUUUCAGAGAAGAUGAAACUGAUGUGCGUCAAAAAGCUGGUAGUCUGUCAAGGAAAUGAGCUGAACAUGUCUGUGUACAGCUUUUGUGCCAUCCCUGGAUGAGCGAGCUGUCUGCCUCUAUGUUCUCCACAAAAUGGAAUAUAGCUGUACACCCAAGCCAAGUUAUGGAGGCUGGGAAGACCUAGAAUGUGGCAUCACUAUUUGGAAACCAUGCCGAUUACCGACCGAGCUCUCAAUGGAAAAAUGCAGUCGGCGUGAACCACGCACGAACACAGCAGAGAAAGAAGAAAACACACACCACGAGGAACCCUAAUAGGACAAUACAUUAUAAGCCUCAUGGUACAUCCACUUGGUGUGCUGGGAGAGUCAGGAUGAGGACCUGAGAAGAACAGCAGCUUGAACCUGACUUCAUUUAACAGCCCACUGCCCUCUUGCCAAGAACCCAUCACAGACCUUCCCAGAAGAGAGGGAUGAGCCUCACCUAUGAAUAAGUCCUCAGAAACUCAAAUUUGAUUCUAAUGGAUUGUUUUCUCAGAAAGACUGAGCAUGUCCCCCCACAUCUCUGUCAUUUCCCACAGUAGUAACCUCUGCAGAUGCCACAUAGAAAACAAAACAAAACAAAAAAACAUGAGGUUGGUGGGCAGAUAGGCAGGGUAUAAACAAACAGCCUUGUAACCCAGAAGCUGUGUGAUAUACAGUAAACUUCACAACACUGAAAAGAUGUCCUAUCUGUUAAAAUGGGGUAAUAACAACUACCCGAAUGUUUAGGAAUAGAACUUCAAUAAAUGAUACAUUUUAUAGUACAGCAGACCAUCCUGUAAAGGUUUCAUCCUUCACUGUGGUGAUAAAUAUCCCAAACCACAUUGAAAAGCAUUGCAUCUACAUUUAUCUACACUGUAACUGUACUGUAAAUCAUGGGGGAGGGGAGAAUCAUAAAAACACCACCUGUCACCGUGUCAUUAAAGCAAGUUGGAAGUGAUACUUACAGAAACACAGCAAGAGCACCCCCAGUCACACAGUUCAAUCUCUUAGCAAGCGUUUUCUUUCUAGCCCAGUGGUUCUCAGUUUGGAAUUUUUGGCACUGCCUAGAGAUAGUUUUGUUGUUAAAACUGAGAAAAGAGCCGGGCGUGGUGGCACACGCCUUUAAUCCCAGCACUCAGGAGGCAGAGGCAGG